rnacentral:lncRNA from 1 species
GAAAUAUUAGAGACAAAGCAUCUCCUGUAUAAUAUCCCAUCCAGAUGGCAGUUCCAAUGUUUUAUGGCCAGUCUGUUUAUUAAUGAACAUCUGUUUUUUGCUACAGAACAGAGUGGACAUUUUAACAUAAAGCCUGCCUUCCAGUUUUCAGACGAAAAUCAAAAUAGACAAUAUGUUAUUACUGAAAAAUGUUCUAAAUUUCUGUUUAAUUUCAGAACAAGUACAUCAACCCUUUUUACUACCCAUGAUGGAUGCUGUUCAAUCUGAUACAUUUACUUCAAAGUGCAUUAUACUUCAAAAGAUUGCAGCUAUUGUGAACAAGCUUUUGAACUACAUAUUUUCCACUCAAGCAGAGGAAUUCAAAGUGCAGAAAGAAGACAUUGGAACAUCACAGAAAAGGAAGAAAACCCAAGUUAAUGUGAAGAGAGAUUGUUUACAGGACAUGUUUCCAUUCUGAGGUUAAAAAACAAGCAGAAGUGGCAUGAAAAGAGUAAGACAUAACUAAAUCUUUGGCUGUUCAAGAAAUGUACUACAAGUAGGGCUCAUGCAGUCAUUUGGUGUAAUUCACAAUACUCAAAAGUACUCCUAAAGCAGGACUGAGCAACUUCCCAGAGUUGAGGGGGAUGUACUAGCUAGCCAUCCCCGGACCCUGAAUGCCCCCAGCUACCUCAGCUCUACUAUUUCUGAGUGCUUUUCAACUACUCCCUCCCCUCCCCUUAAUUUGUCCGCAUUAAAAAAAGAAAGGCCAAUCGCCUCCCAAGUAGUCUCUGAGGAAACGACUGGUCACAGGAGGCUGAGCCAAAAUUAGGCCAAGAGGAAUAUUAUUGUUAAAUCAGAAAUAUCUGUGUCACUUCAUUUGGAGAACGAUCUCUGGGAGGUGGGGGGAGGAAAUGACUUGAAAUGGAUAAUCUUGCCGCCAAGAGACUUAAGGGGACAUAAGUAGGAUGGGCUAAUUUUCUAAAUAGGCACCAUUAUCUAAAUGCCGUGGCAAUUUUCAUAUUAAGCACAUUCAUUGUUGCUUUGUUUUUCUACCAAUACAUCUUGCCUUGGUGCCAUUGAUAUAGUAACCCCAGAGAUGAGACAACCAGUAGAGUGUAAUGAUUAGCAUGUUGCUCGUGGAAGAAGAAGACCUACAUUCAAAUUCCUACUUGAGCAUGGUCAAAUCCCUACUUUGGAUCUGGGGCCAAUCAGAACCUCUCUUAGAGGAUUGCUCUUGGAAGGAUGCAAAUAGCAGCCAUGUACAUAGAUGGUGCAUAGAAAAAAAAUAAUGGCAUUCUAUCAUAUAUGCCUGGAAGCAUUCUCAUUAGAUAAGUGUUCGGGUUUUUUACCAUCCAUUUUUAGUAAUGGCCAACUGCCUUCCCACCCCCCAAAAAACAUAUCCAGGGUCCCUCAUACAGAAUAGUCACUGACUGUAAUGGCUGGGAGUUUCUGAGAGUUGUAGUCCAAGAAAAUAAUGUUGCAAAUCACUGAUUCCUAAUAAAUGCAUCUACUGCAAUGGAAGGUCCA